rnacentral:rRNA from 1 species
GAUGAACGCUAGCUACAGGCUUAACACAUGCAAGUCGAGGGGAAACGAUAUUGGAAGCUUGCUUCCGAUAGGCGUCGACCGGCGCACGGGUGAGUAACGCGUAUCCAACCUGCCCACCACUUGGGGAUAACCUUGCGAAAGUAAGACUAAUACCCAAUGAUAUCUCUAGAAGACAUCUGAAAGAGAUUAAAGAUUUAUCGGUGAUGGAUGGGGAUGCGUCUGAUUAGCUUGUUGGCGGGGUAACGGCCCACCAAGGCGACGAUCAGUAGGGGGUCUGAGAGGAAGGUCCCCCACAUUGGAACUGAGACACGGUCCAAACUCCUACGGGAGGAAGCAGUGAGGAAUAUUGGUCAAUGGACGAGAGUCUGAACCAGCCAAGUAGCGUGCAGGAUGACGGCCCUAUGGGUUGUAAACUGCUUUUAUAAGGGAAUAAAGUGAGCCUCGUGAGGCUUUUUGCAUGUACCUUAUGAAUAAGGACCGGCUAAUUCCGUGCCAGCCGCCGCAGUAA